CUAACAGUGAAAUGCUUCAUAAACAACAGGUGUAGACUAACAGUGAAAUGCUUCAUAAACAACAGGUGUAGACUAACAGUGAAAUGCUUCAUAAACAACAGGUGUAGACUAACAGUGAAAUGCUUCAUAAACAACAGGUGUAGACUAACAGUGAAAUGCUUCAUAAACAACAGGUGUAGACUAACAGUGAAAUGCUUCGUAAACAACAGGUGUAGACUAACAGUGAAAUGCUUCAUAAACAACAGGUGUAGACUAACAGUGAAAUGCUUCAUAAACAACAGGUGUAGACUAACAGUGAAAUGCUUCAUAAACAACAGGUGUAGACUAACAGUGAAAUGCUUCCUAAACAACAGGUGUAGACUAACAGUGAAAUGCUUCAUAAACAACAGGUGUAGACUAACAGUGAAAUGCUUCAUAAACAACAGGUGUAGACUAACAGUGAAAUGCUUCAUAAACAACAGGUGUAGACUAACAGUGAAAUGCUUCAUAAACAACAGGUGUAGACUAACAGUGA